rnacentral:misc_RNA from 1 species
UUUCCGUAGGUGAACCUGCGGAAGGAUCAUUAUUGUAUAACCGAGGUGCGAGGGCUGUCGCUGACCCGAAAGGUCGUGCACGCCCGAGUGCCCUCACACACAUCCAUCUCACCCCUAAGUGCACCACCGCGUGGGUCCCCCCUUGGCUUGUUCGGAGGGGGGCUUACGUUUUCACACAAACUUUGUAAGCAGUGUAGAAUGUAUUUUUUGUUUUUGCGAUCACGCAAUCAAUACAACUUUCAACAACGGAUCUCUUGGCUCUC